rnacentral:lncRNA from 1 species
GUCAGGUGAGUGUUUGGUUUGAUCUGUUUGGAUGGCAUUAGCCCAGUGCCUGCCAGCACGGUGUCUGCAUGGGGCAGAUACUUGGUAAUGGUUCCAUGACUUGAUGAUGUUGGGCAAAUGGAUAACAACUUCUACUCAAUUUUUGUUCAGCAUAUUUCAGAAAACUUUCCUUAAAAUACAGUAUGCUAUGGUCUAAAUGUUUGUAUCCCCCCAAAUUCAUUUCGCCCAGUCUCUGACCUCAGAAAGCGAACUAUUUUGUUUUUAAACAUGAACUCUUUGGCCUGAUGAUUUGAAAAAUAGAAAACUUUCCAGCCAGAGGAUCAGGAGUAGAAUCUCUCUGAAUGUCUCCCAACCCUAAUGUCCGCCAACCUCUGUAGAUGUGAGAGGGGAUUAGGAAAUAAUAAAUUCACAUACACUUUACAUAAAGGGAAAGUAAUAAGCAUUUGUUUCUGUGGUUGGGGAAAUUUGAGAUGGUUGAUACCAUUCACUCAUCAGUCCUGGCCUGGUGCAGUGGUUCUCAAAUUGAGAGGGAUAAAUCCCAGAUAGGGGGCUUAUUACAGAUGAGGAUUCCUUAGUCACACUGGCCACUCUGGUUUAGGAGGUCUGCAGUUAGCAACACCUGAGAGUGCUUCUGGCCGAGAUAGAGAAGGGUGGACGUGCUUCCGAGGGCACUGAUUAGAGCCACUUGGAAAACUGUGCUCCUUCAGUGACUUGAAACCUUAAGGACAUCAACUAGGAGCUCUGAAAGUCAGCCCCUUGCUGGUCUCACCUGAAGCUUGACUCCAGGACCCUCUGCAGUGUUUCCUUG